GGCUUCACCUGAAUAAGAAGAAUAAGCAUGCCUUGAUGUUAGUUUUCUCUCUUUGUAAGUUUCAGUAUGAUCUAAUAGCGAAUAAAGUACAGAGCAAUUGACAGCUGGAAACAAGCUCUCACCAGGAACUGUAAUACCCCUGCUACCCACUUUGAUUAGCCAACAAGAAACUAUGAUCUACAUACAUAUGAAUUCAUCUGUUGCAAAAUUGCUUGGGA
rnacentral:lncRNA from 1 species